rnacentral:rRNA from 1 species
GGGCCCGCACAAGCGGCGGAGCAUGUGGAUUAAUUCGAUGCAACGCGAAGAACCUUACCUGGGUUUGACAUGCACCAGACGCUGCCGGAGACGGUAGUUCCCUUGUGGUUGGUGUGCAGGUGGUGCAUGGCUGUCGUCAGCUCGUGUCGUGAGAUGUUGGGUUAAGUCCCGCAACGAGCGCAACCCUCGUUCCAUGUUGCCAGCGCGUGAUGGCGGGGACUCAUGGGAGACUGCCGGGGUCAACUCGGAGGAAGGUGGGGAUGACGUCAAGUCAUCAUGCCCCUUAUGUCCAGGGCUUCACACAUGCUACAAUGGCUCAUACAGAGGGCUGCGAGACCGUGAGGUGGAGCGAAUCCCUUAAAGUGAGUCUCAGUUCGGAUCGGGGUCUGCAACUCGACCCCAUGAAGUCGGAGUCGCUAGUAAUCGCAGA